rnacentral:rRNA from 1 species
GAUGAACGCUGGCGGUAUGCUUAACACAUGCAAGUCGAACGGACUCUUCGGAGUUAGUGGCGGACGGGUGAGUAACGCGUGAGAAUCUGGCUUUGGGUUCGGGACAACCACUGGAAACGGUGGCUAAUACCGGAUGUGCCGAGAGGUAAAAGAGAAAUUGCCUGAAGAUGAGCUCGCGUCUGAUUAGCUAGUUGGUGAGGUAAAGGCUCACCAAGGCAGCGAUCAGUAGCUGGUCUGAGAGGAUGACCAGCCACACUGGGACUGAGACACGGCCCAGACUCCUACGGGAGGCAGCAGUGGGGAAUUUUCCGCAAUGGGCGAAAGCCUGACGGAGCAGUACCGCGUGAGGGAAGAAGGCUCUUGGGUUGUAAACCUCUUUUCUUAGGGAAGAACAAAAUGACGGUACCUAAGGAAUCAGCAUCGGCUAACUCCGU